UAUUUGAUCCGUCGCUUGCAGGUCGACUUAUGCCUUACGACGUUCCUUUUAAGGAGGACUCGCCCAGACUGCCUUUUCCCAACUUCUACUACGCGUUGGAAGACGUUGCCGCAUCGUAUUCACCUGCUAUAACGUACUCCGUGCAUCGUUCGUCGGUCAUAAUCGGUGCAUCUCCAAGAAGCCUGUACAAUUCGUUGCUCACUUUAGCGGUGUAUGCCACCAUUUGCAAGCACCAGGGGUUGCCGUUUCGAUACUUUGGUAAGUCCUUACUUAGCUCUAGCUUAUUUUCUAAGUCUAAGUUAAUUAUAAAAUUACUAUGGAAAAGUUUGUUGGGUCCUAUUAAUCAAAGACAAAGUUAAAAACUAGUCAACAUGUUCGUUCAAUGGCAAAUUUCAAUAAUCUAUUUGAGAUUUAUUCAAAUCACAAGCUAGAUAUAGCUCUAUUAGUUUCUACCGUUUAUAGGAUAUGAUAAGUUUUAUAAAAGUUAAUUUAAGGAGCAUAUAUGAGGAAUUUUUAUAGAUAAGUUUAUGAUUAAUAUGAGGAAUUUUCAUAGAUAAUUUAUGGUUAAUUAUCUUAUCAACUCUCCAGCUUAGCAAAAGUUUUUUUUCCCUAAUCUUCGUCCGAAUAGCAAUUCUUGAAUCUUCCCUUUCAGGUAACAAAUACACAUGGGAGCAUUUUUUCGACGUGUCAGACAGCCGAUUGCUAGCAGAGCAACAGAUAUGGGCAGCAACGACGGAUAAGGCCAAGAACCAAGCAUUUAACUGCACAAACGGCGACGUUUUUAUGUGGAAGAGCUUAUGGAAACUGUUGUCAGAAAUCUUUGACGUUGAGUUUGUGCCGUUUGAUGAUGAGAAAAAUGAAAAAUUUGAUGUGGUUGAGAUGAUGAAGGAGAAAGGAGAAAUAUGGGAUGAGAUUGUUGAGAAACAUGGGCUGUAUAAGACCAAAUUGGAGGAGAUAACUUGUUUUGAGGCAAUGAAACUUGUCUUGCAUUUUGAGUUUCAGCAUGUCAGUAGCAUGAACAAGAGCAGAGAAUUUGGGUUCUUUGGGUUUGUUGAUACCAUGAAGAGUAUUAGAAUGUGGGUGGGGAAGUUACGAGAGAUGAAGAUCAUACCAUGAGAUUCAAGAACGUAAAUGUAGCUGGGCAACUGGGCUUGAAGUUCUGGUUCGGUCUUGUUUUGCCAACCCACAUUAGAGUAUUGGCCGAAACUCACUCAGUCUAGCCCACCAAUGGGUCAUAUCAAUAAGGUAAAUGAAGAUUAAACAAAAUUUGGCCGGAAACAAUGGCAUGACUAAGCAUAAUUAGAUUGGAUGUAAGUUCACGUGUAUAGCUGUGGUAGCCAUAUGUGACCUCUUUUAAUCUAAAUACCAAGACACAUAAAUAACCAGCUAUACAACUGUACAAGUCAACAUGUUUAUGUCUCUCAUUUAUUUCAUAUAUAUAUAUCGUUCUCAGUUGCGGCCGCCCUUAUUUUUUUAAAUGCGAAUAUGUUAAAUUGUGUAGUUUAAUAAAAUUAUUUUCGAAUAUACUAUAAAGUCGUGUGAUUUAAUAACAUUAAAAUCUUUAUAUAUAAAGUAGUGAAGGUAUCAUCACCUCAUUAAAGUGAGGAUAUUAAUAAAAAAAUAAAAAGUACAAAUUUCAAUACAUUAGAUAUUAUAUUUUUCUAUCUAUUAGUAUAUUGAAAGUGUUUUUUUUUGGGGGUAUUUUACUAGCAUCCUCACAUUAAAAAAAUGAGGAUAUCCUCACUAAAGAACGAUUAUAUAUUAGUAAAAAAUUAAAUGAACACACAAUUCAAUACAUUGGAGAUUAUAUUUUUUUUUAUAUGUUAGCGUAUUAAAAUCUAUAAUUUUUUUUUUUGUAUUUUACUAGCACCCUCAUAUUAACAAAGUGAGAAUAUCGGCACUAAAGAAUGAUAACGCACACACACACACACACACACACACAUUCUCUAGUAAAGGCAUACUCAUUUUAAUAAAGCGAAGAAACAAGAAAACACGGCUUCUAAUAUAUUAGAAUCUGUAUUUUUUUGUAUUUUUUGUGCAUCCUCACUUUAGCAAAAGUAAAGAUGCCCUUACUAGAGAAGGAUUUUCAAUCAAGAACUCUGAUCAUAUUAAAAUCAAGCAUAAGCUCAAAGAUUAAAAAAAAAACUACAUAUUUUAAAAUAUUAUAGGAAAAAAUAUAUUGUACUAAAGUCUUAUUUUUUUGUUAUUUGUCUUAUGUCUAAUUUUAAUAUAGUCAGAGAUUUCUGAUUGGAUUAUCAAAGACACAAUGAUGAUUUUAAAAAUAUUAAUGAAACAUUUCUCUUGAAUUUGUGAUUAUGUUUUGAUUUUGAUUUUUUUUUCAUUUCGGAACAUGUAAAUAUUCUACCCAAGUAACACAAAUUUAUUCUAAAAUUUUAACAUAGAGUAAUGAUAUGUAACCAACUCAAGUUAUCUCACUAACUUCUAUUUUUCAAUUUUAUCUUACUAUUUUUUAAAAUUACCCUUAUUAAGAUUAAAAAAUAUAAUUUUUAUUUUAUUUUAUUCUCUCUUUCUGUUCUCUCUAGCAUAACCAUCAUGCUCACCACUUCAUCUACAACGAGUUUCAUCAUCAUCAUCAAACCGCCACCACAUAUUUUCUUCACCAUCAAUACAUCACCUCCAUCAAUAAAUGAUGAGUUUUAAUGUUUAGAUUUUGUUAAAUUUUAUGAACAAAUGAUGGGUUUUUUUUUUGUUAUUGAUAAUAUUUUUUUUGAUUUUGCAUGAUAAUGUAGAAUUUUGUUUAAUUUUAAUUUGACAACUGAUUAAGAGUUAGUAUUUGAUUCAAAUCGUGAAUCAAUUUAAAAAAAUAAGAGAGAUGUAAAAGAUAGAGAUGAGAAGUUAAUGUAUUAAGAGUUUGAGAGAGAAGAAAAAUAUUAAAUUUUAAUUAAUUAAUUAUUUAUUUAUUUUUCACUAUAAGCAAUUCUAAAAUAAACAAUAUUAAUUUGAAAAUAAUGGUUAGUGAGAUAAGUUUCACCGCUCUUUAACAGAUUCUUUGCAUGUGACUAGUCCAUGGAAUUGGUCAUAUUUCAUGUGGGCCUUUUUGUCUACGUCAAACGUGAUCUUGACUCAAAUUUUCAAAAAUAGUCUAAUCUUAAUCUUUUUAUCCUUCUAGCAAGCGCACUUGUAAGGUUAUCUCCAUUAAUAAUACAUAACCGAUGUAUAUGUUAUUCAUUCUAUUAUUUUGAUUUAGUUAUUAUCUUUUUGAUAUUUUAAGUUGUUAUUGUCUCUUAUCUUAUUUGAAUUUAAUUAGAACUAGUAUUUGAACUCCACGUGCCCGUCGUGGGUGCCAAUUACUAGGCAACUAACUUAGUGAAAUAAAUUCUUGGGUUAAAAUGAUGAGGUAAUGGCCUAUUAAUUACUGCUUACGUUAAUAUAAUUAACAAAAUCUUGUUUAUAUUUGAACUUCUUAAAAUUAUUGGGUUAAAACAAAAAUUCUAAGAUAUAUUGGAACCACGCUUGCUGUCUGGGUAAAGAGAGAAUUCAACUUAAUUUUAUUCCCCUUACUUUUUGUAUGCAUAAAAUAAACUUGAAGAUACUUGAAUAUACCAUGAAAUUAAGGGAAAGUGGCCCAUCGCUCCGCAGAUUCUAAGACAUACCAUUUUUAGAAAUGCUAGAUUCUCUGGUCUUUAACAGAACUUGUGUAUUCAUUUUAUUAAUUAAAGAGAUAGGUGGUGUUAGAUAAAAAGAAUAAAAAAGGUGUGGUUAAGUUACAUAAUGUUUUAACUUACAAAAACUUAAAGAGUUGCAUCAGUUAAGUCAAGUGUAAUUUAGUUAUUAAAUAUUUUUUGAAUUAUUAGAUACAACUCUUAGAUUGUUAUAAUUAAUUACAACAUUAUGUAAUUUAACUAAGGUGCCAAAAAAAAUAAAAUAAAAUAAAUAAAUUAAUUUGUGGUUUUGUCUACUCGAUCGUUUGAAAAUAUCACAAAGACCCUGCAGUUUUGAAAUAAAUUAAAUGUAAACAGGUUAAUUAAAUACCACUUGUUAGAAAAAAAAACAAAGAGUUAUCCUGCAAGAAGAUAAGCAUAAAAAAGGAAAGGUGGCGAGUAAUGGAGUAAGGACCAUGCACGCAUUAUCUUUUUAGCUGCUUCGCAUUUAAUACGAAAUAAUAAUGGUAGUAUAUUAUUGAUUUGUAGAUCCCCUCUAUGGUUAGGUCAAAGGUCGUGACAUUUUUUCCCCCAGGCCGAGCUUUCUUCAACAUUAAUUUCCUCUCAUUUCUCUGAUAUCUCCACUGAGAAGCAGAAAUUACCAGCACAUUUAUAAUUUGUAUCAUGGAAAAGCGAGAUCAAAAUCCUAAAUCAGUUGCCCUAAUCAUUGGGGUGACAGGCAUUUCAGGCUUGAGCUUAGCAGAAGCUCUAAAGAACCCAACCACACCGGGCAGCCCCUGGAAAGUGUACGGCGCCGCCCGCCGGCCUCCGCCCGGAUGGUUCCCGACUGCUCUCGUCGAUCGUUAUAUAACCUUCGAUGCCCUGGACUCCGCUGACACUGCCCUAAAACUCUCUCUGAUUUCUCAAGAAAUCACUCAUCUUUUUUGGGUCCCUUUGCAGGUUCAGGAAAGCGAAGAAGUAAACAUAUUCAAGAACUCGACGAUGUUGAAGAAUGUGCUCUCCGUUCUUGUAAGUUCUAACAGCGGACGUUCUUGUCUCCGACAUGUGGCUUUGCUGACGGGGACGAAACACUACAUGGGUCCGAUAUUUGAUCCGUCGCUUGCAGGUCAACUUAUGCCUUACGAAGUUCCUUUUAAGGAGGACUCGCCCAGACUGCCUUUCCCCAACUUUUACUACGAAUUGGAAGACGUUGCCGCAUCGUAUUCACCGGCUAUAACGUACUCCGUGCAUCGUUCGUCGGUCAUAAUCGGUACAUCUCCAAGAAGCCUGUACAAUUCGCUGCUCACUUUAGCGGUGUAUGCCACCAUUUGCAAGUACCAGGGGUUGCCG
rnacentral:lncRNA from 1 species